rnacentral:rRNA from 1 species
UACGGGCGUAUGGUGGAUGCCUUGGCAUGCUGAGCCGAUGAAGGACGUGUGAGGCUGCGUUAUGCCUCGGGGAGUUGCCAACAAAGCGUUGAUCCGAGGAUGUCCGAAUGGGGAAACCUGGCCCUGGUUAUGUGGGGUUACCCUUCAGUGAAUUCAUAGCUGUUGUGGGGGUUUACGCGGGGAAGUGAAACAUCUCAGUACCCGUAGGAGAAGAAAACAAUUGUGAUUCCGUGUGUAG